rnacentral:tRNA from 1 species
GGGGCCGUAGCUCAGGGGGAGAGCGCUGGUAUGGCACGCCAGAGGUCGGGGGUUCAAAUCCCCUCGGCUCCA